rnacentral:rRNA from 1 species
GGAUGCGAUCAUACCAGCACUAAAGCACCGGAUCCCAUCAGAACUCCGAAGUUAAGCGUGCUUGCGCGAGAGUAGUACUAGGAUGGGUUCCCUCCUGGGAAGUCCUCGUGUUGCAUUAC